rnacentral:tRNA from 1 species
GUGUUUGUAGUCCAGCGGUUAGGAUUAUUGCCUUCCAAGCAAUAGACCCGGGUUCAAGUCCCGGUAAACGCA